CACACAUUUCAAUUAGUAUUACUUCAGUGGGACUGCAAAAUAUGCUUAAACCCAUCUUACCUGUCUUCAGGAUUACCUACAUUCAUUUAAGGAGGUGUCUAUCCCAAAUCUCGACUCGCCAAAUCAAUAGUGAUUAUUACAAAUUAAAAAUAAAACAUUAUUUGGAAGAUGACAAUUCAAAUGUAAAGCCACCAAGAAAGUCUCAGCAAUAUUAGAGGUGACCUGACAUGAUUAUUCCCUUUAAUGAUCAGGGUGGAAAAGGAAUAUGUUCUGGCACUCCCCCCCCCCACAAAGUAAGUCUUCUAAAUCCAGGUAAAAUACCCAUCACUGAUUGCCAAAAACCCCAAACAGGAAGCACUUUGCAUUUUUAGGUAUAUUCUGUCUAUUUAAAAAAUGUGUUUUUCAGUGGCAUAACCAAAUUCAUCUAGGGUUUCACCUAGUAUGAAAACUCAAGAGCUUAAUGAGUGGAAAACUGACUGAAUACUGACACACUGUGUUUCAGUACACUUGACCUUAAGAGAUGUGAAGUUUCACGAGUAACGAUGUUGGGAAUGAUUCAGGUGAAUGACUGUAUCUUUAUGUGCCACAUGGUGCUUAUGAUGACAAGCGGUUUGGACUUAAUCAUAACCCAUCUCCAAAAUGAAGUCAUGGAUGUGUGCACAAAACCGGAGCCCAAGCAAAGUAAAGCAAACCAAAAUAAAUAAAAUCACAUCAGUGAAUAAAAUAUUUCUGGCAUGUGACUGUUAUUCAAUCUGUGAGAGUAAUUAGAAGACAUUGGUGUCACAAAUAACCCAAAUAAGCAAGAAAUAAUGACACAAAACGACUGGGUUCAGUUACUUUAAUCCCAUAUUGUCUUCCAUGAAAUAAUCUCGUCCAUAUCCACAAAAGCAAUGAGACUAUCAAAGUUGCAGUAUGUAUAUAAAAUAGGCUGAAGCUAAAGACUGCACCGGGAGUUAGGAAACAUGACGGUUUAUUAGUCAGAAAUGCCCUAAAAAUGUAACCUCAUCACGCUUGCUACAGCAGCCUUCCCUUUCCUCCUCCACGUUUUUGCAAAUUUGGACACAUUAUUAGUCACUUCACCGAACUCCAGCGUUUGACAGAAAAGGCAGGCUUGUUCACCCUUCUGGCAACUUUAAUAGGAGAUUCUCAGAACCUCGGAGUUGGAGAGAAAAGUACUGAAACCCGCCUCACCUUCGACCCAAACUGUUCUCAAGCCUUUGCACUAGCCUGGAAUAGAGGCGGGCCGGCAAGAGAACACUGUUACGUUACAGGCAAACAAGUUGGGCGAAUGUAAACAAAGAAUGACAAAAGAAAGCCAGACCAGCACUAAAACACCCUCCUCCAGCUCAACUCACGCUUGACAUUCAAGAAAGCUAUCAAAGCAAUCCGUGAUGCGUCUCCCCGCGGAACUGGGGCCCGAAUGCCCCCACGCGGGACCGCCCUGGCUCGCCCACCGCCUGCUGGUGGUACGUGGAGCCUAGCUGCGGCUGCCGGGGACUUUUGAGCCCAGAUCACUGGCUGCAGCGCCCGCUCCAGUGUCCUGACUCGGGCUGUUCCUCCGGUAGCAGGAGAAGACGCACCGGCGUUUGGGUCACGGGAAGGGCUGGGGGGGGGGGGGGGUACCCAGCACCCCUAACUCCUCCAUCAGUCACCUACCCACAAGUCCCACCUAGGAGAAGUAGGAGGUGGAGGAGGAGGAGGAGGAAGCUGCUUGGCAGAAGGCAGUUCUCUGGGGAGCGGGGCGAAGAUGCAGGACCACCUCACCGCGGGGGUGCUCGGAUGACAAGAGAGAUUUGGCUGCUUCUUGUCUCAUCUGAUAAGCUGACUAUUGUCAGGCAGAUGUCUUCAUUAAGUCUGUGUAGGAAGACGAGAGCAUCAAAGGGAAGGAGCACGCGUUUUCCUUCUGGAACUCUGCAUAGGAAUCACGUAUUUCGUAGUAUGAUCUAUGAGUAAGGUCAGAAGACAGCCUUGGAUGGUAGUCUCCAUCUCUCACUUUGUUGAAGACAGUGUCUCAUCGUUUGCUGCCUCACGUGGUGGCUGACUGGCUGGUUGGCUUCUGGGUGCUCUCCGGUCUCCACCUCCCAUCUCUCCACACAGGCACUGGGAUUACAGAUGAACAUUUCCAUGCCUCCCUUUAACCCAAGGUUCUGGGGCUGGGAGCUCAGGUGUGCAAGGGCUUUACCCACUGAGCCAUCUCCCCAGCCUGAACUAAGUUUAUUUUGACUGUUUUACUUGGAAUGUGCUGUGUUUGAACAGACUCUAAAUUAGCCUAGAUCUCUUGUUCCACCAAACCUGAUGACCCAAGUAUCUCCUGGGAACCAUCUGAUGGAAGGCGAGAGCCAGCUCCAGUAAAGUGUCCUCUGAUCUCCACAAGUGUGUCAAGUGAGUGUCCAUAUUACACACGUACCUGUGUACACACUAAAUAAAUGAAUACAAACAAAAAGGAAAAAAAGUGAACUUGAUAAGUUACCAAAACAUGUUUUAAAAAAUGGAGAAAUAAGGAGGCCUGUCUUCAAGGGCAUUGGGAAGAUUUAAACACUGACUAAUGGUAAGUGUUUAGGGCAGUUAGGAUGAUACUUUAUUAGUGGUAAUUUGGAAUAUCCAUGUAGCUUCUGUCCCAAAUUGAGCCAUUGGGUUAUGUUGGCUUAUGUCUUCCUCCUCCAUGGUCUAUGGUUCACUCUCAGAGGAGUCCAGUCACUGGUAAAAUCCCUCAGACUUUAACUUGAAUUAGCAAGGCUGCUGAAGAUGUAGACAGUAAGGCCUCCUGAUUAGGGAUUCCGCUUCAAUAGCCUGAUGUGAUGUCCCCUAAUUUGCAUUUCUAAUACUUACCUGGGACGGGGCUACAGUUGCUUUGGAAACCACAUGCUCCUGUAGCUUCCUGAGAGCGCUUCUAAAAGAAGAAACUUGGGCCCAUCUUGCUCCGGACGUCCCUUUUGGAACAAUCGUGAGUACCCUUCCUUGCCCCAGACCCCAUCCCUGGGCACCAGCCACUCCAGGGAAGACCUGCCCAACUCGGCCCCAGGUUCUGGCCACCGGGCAGGUUCCCUGCUAGCCCCACCGGGAAGGAUCCCCUUCUCCAAGACCCCUGGCAGACCCUGCAGUCUCCACGCCCUGCCACCACACCCAUCCGCCUGAGCCCCAAGCCUCUUCCUGAGACUUAGAGGCCGGCCCCCAGCUCCCAUCUUGCUCCGGACUUCCCUUUUGGAACACUGACUUCCCUUUUGGAACACUGGUCUGUCUGAACCAAGUGUGCGGAUAAGGCCAAGAACGAACCACAAGGAGAUGGGCAGACGUCAAGGCAGAAACAUAUACAACAAAAUGAAUAGCAAUACAGCAUCACCAGGCCCUAGCCCUCCUCCAACACCUAGA